rnacentral:rRNA from 1 species
UGUGAUGCUGGAAGCUGCAAUCGCCGCCGAUGUAUUUCUGAAUAGCUACUGGGAGGAGGACAAAUCCCACCAGACUUGGCUCUAAUUUAAGUUAUCAUAAGAGUAAGUAAUCAGCACUUGUUGUUCUGUUUUCUGAUUCUAUUGAGAAAGCUCAAAAUUUGCAGUGUAAGAUCAAACUUUUGCUCGCAGAAUAUUGAAUGUGUGCUAAAAAGUAUGUAGAUUUACUCAUGA